GAGUUUGAUCAUGGCUCAGAUUGAACGCUGGCGGCAUGCCUUACACAUGCAAGUCGAACGGCAGCACGGGAGCUUGCUCCUGGUGGCGAGUGGCGAACGGGUGAGUAAUGCAUCGGAACGUAUCCUGGAGUGGGGGAUAACGUAGCGAAAGUUACGCUAAUACCGCAUAUUCUGUGAGCAGGAAAGCGGGGGACCUUCGGGCCUCGCGCUCUUGGAGCGGCCGAUGUCGGAUUAGCUAGUUGGUGAGGUAAAGGCUCACCAAGGCGACGAUCCGUAGCAGGUCUGAGUGGAUGAUCUGCCACACUGGAACUGAGACACGGUCCAGACUCCUACGGGAGGCAGCAGUGGGGAAUUUUGGACAAUGGGGGCAACCCUGAUCCAGCCAUGCCGCGUGAGUGAAGAAGGCCUCGGUGUAAG
rnacentral:rRNA from 1 species